rnacentral:lncRNA from 1 species
CUUGGUUCUGGUUCAGAAAGUCACACUCCUGACAAUAGUUCGCGUCGCACUCCGGACAAUCUACACGUUUCACACAAUUCAACAAAUCAAUCAUUGAAACACAAAUAGAACCAAAAUAAAACCAACAGCAAGAAAAUGAUUUUUAAAACUCAACAACAGAAGCUUAACAGCACCUAAAUUGCACUAUGGUCACAACGCAAAAAGAAUCACUCGAUUCCGAUAAGCGGUUUGAAAAUUACGGCCUCCGGAAGAUUUCAUUCAAAUUCAAACGAAUUCAAAUUUGAAAAGCGCAAACAUGUGCAAAGUUGGUAGUGUGAUAAAGUGUUGAUUUUUGUGAGUGCAUAGGAAAAAGAACUACCUAAAUUGGACUUAUAUAAUAAAAGAUAUAGCUAGUUGAUUUUUGGAUGAAAAUCUGUGAAAACAAAAGAAACAGAAAUCCCCUGGUUCCUGUGCGGCACUGUAGCUGCGCCUGUAGCAGUCUGCCACGUGGCAGUUUGUGAUUGGCCAAAGGCCCCUGUGCGCGUGCGUGCUCACCAGAAGCAGAGGACGGCGGCGGCUGCCUCGGGCGUCGGCGACGGCGAUUCUCCGGCGGUUCUCCGGCGAAGACGAAGGGACGGACGGGUCGGGCGUAGAGUGGCGGAGGUGGUGCUGGUGUUCAACGGCGGCGGGGCGUCAGCGGCGGUGGGGAUGGACGACAGCUGCCCCAAAGUCAAACGAACUCCAGCGACUCGGCUACCUCGCUCCCGUGCUCUGUGGCCAAAACAGGCCCGUCAAGAAGAUGCAGAAUCGAACGGGGAAUCGAACGGAGCAGGCGGUGAGGCUUGGCGCGUUCUUACGGUGACGGCAACGACCGGCGAAUGGCGGCGGUCUCAAGUUCCUCCGACGAGAUCCGUUUCGCCCUCGCUCGAGCGUGCGGCAACGAGGAAGAACGAGGAGUGGAUGCGGGGUCUCCCUGGGUCUUCUGCUUGCACACGGCGACUCGGGAGCGCUCGAGGUGGACCAAGGACGCGAGGUGAACCGGCUCGGCCUCGGCGUGCGUGCGGUGCGCGCGUGUGGUGUCCGGCUCGGGAGGGACGAACAGGGGCGCGAGUGGGUCCCGCUGUUAGCGGCUGGAGCGAUGCGGGUCGGGCACGGGCAGCGCUGCUGCGUAUCACUUCGCGGGAAGUGGGCUGCGGGUCAGGUGCGGGUCCCCCCGGUCAGUGGCCCGAGGCAACGGCGGAUCGGGCGUGGCGCUGCUGGCUGCUGCGUACCGCUUCGCGGGAAGCUGGGCCACGGUUGUGCGGGCGCCUGUUGGGCCGCGGUGCAGCGCUGCGUGCUGUGUUUUUUUUUCUCUUUAACGAAAACUACAGCAGUAAAUAACUAAAAUUAAAACAACACUAUAAAAACAAAAUAAAAAUACGUAGACACACAGUAAAAUCUAUACUGCUAAUAUAAACUACAGGAACACUAGUUCCUCACCUAAUGCAAUUUCAGAAAUUCAUUUUGAUGCAAAAGGCCACACAAACAGCAACAAAACAGUCAAAUAAAAUACUUUGGAGACUAACAAAAAUACCAGAACAUAACAGAUGAACUGAAAAUAAUAUUCUUGACAUUAUGAACAUUUUUAAACAGGAGAGAAGUCAUGUUAUCUCCACUCCAAUAAAUUGCCCUUAGUUGCAUAAUGAAAAGAAUAUUGCAGAAGAGCAAAUAAUGCAUGGAAAAUAUGAUAUGCAUAUGUAUGAUCUAAUAACAUCCUAAUUUAGGAAAAUUGGGAUGUUACACCAGGUCCGCGCUUGGCCGCGCCCACCCACCGCCGGAGCCGCGCCAGCCUGCGCUGGAGCGAGCCCGUCGAGCAGCACCCGACUGAGCACCAAGUCUGGCCGAGCCGAGCACGCCCAGCCACCACCGUCCCGCAGCAUCACCGCCUGGAGCAGCGGAGCAGCGCCGCCCCCGCUGUCGAGAACGGCGAUCGAGGGGUCCCGCCGCCGCCACGCUGCCAGGGCUUUGCCCGGCGACGCCUCCGGCGGCGGCGAGAAGAGAGGAAGGCGCAGGGGGGGCUGCUCGAGCCCGCAGGGGCGCCCCGGUGCGGCCCGGCGCGGCCGCACGGGAGCGGGACAGGAAGAGGGGGAGGGCCGGACUCGAACUCCUCCGCGGGAAGAGGGUUGGCGAAGACGGCGCCGGGCUUCGGGAUGGAUGGAGAGAGGACGCCGGGAGGGUCCCGGAUCUGUGCUUGGCUGGGCCUGAGGUGGCCGGAGGGAAGAGAUCAGCCGGCGGCGGCGGCGCCUGCACCUGCGCGAGCGCGAGCGCGAGCGCGAGACCUAGUUUCAGGAGCUUUGUAUUAUAUAAAAGGUAUUGUGGCCUACACAAAGGCUGUGCUGGUACUGUUGCUACUCUACUUGGCGUUAACAGGCAGAUAACCAUGCUGAAAGCCUGAAACGUAAUUGUGACAGUGGCAGUACAUCUUCUUACCUGAGUGGUGUUCUCCCGCUCCGCCGCGGUACCCACGCGUCGCCGGUGACCUCUGUCUCCCUCGUCAUCUCCGGAGGUCGCCGCACGCCGAUCUCCUCUGCUCCAGCUCCACGGUGGCGGGAGGGCGAGAGGAUGGCGGUGGACCGGAGGUGAAAGAAUUCCGGCCGUCCUAGCGCUUGG